AGCAAAAACCUUCUUCUCCGAUUCAUCCCAUUCGCUCAUCGGAAGAGAAGAUUUUUGAAAUCCAUUCUCGACAAUAGACCAAAGCUCAAAGUCCAUAGAAAUGAGGAAGAUCCUCAUGCGAGUCUUCCAAUAUGUGUAAUCCGACCCAUUAAACAAAGGUGGUCGUGCAAUAGAAUGGCCCUCUUGCAUGCCGGAGUAAGCCAUCUCUCUUGGGUAUUAAACCAAAUAUGAGAGAUAACCUUGCUCUGAUACUACUUGUUAGGAUCGGAGCGGCACUAAGAGGGGGGGGUGAAUUAGUGCAGCGGAUUAAAAUUUCGAUUUUAAUAAAAUCUUUCGUACGAUAAGAACGGAACUUGAAAAGUUUAACUUGAAAGCGUAUUCUUAAAAUUGUGCAGCAAGGGUAAUAAGGAACUAAAGCAGUAAGAAGAUUUGCAGUAAUGUAAAUGACAAUAAUAAAAUGCAAACCAGAGAUUACGCCGAUUUUUAGAGUGGUUCGGUCAAAUGACCUACUCCACUUGCGAUGCCCCUUUUCGAUGAGGCUCCCACCUUCCACUAGCAAAUCUCUUAAAAUGGAAGGGUAAACACCCCUCUUACAACCUUUUACAAGCAGCUCAACCUCUUACAAAUUUUCAAUAAGAAAGAAGGAGGAGAACUCUCUAGCAAAUUGAAAACAAGACUUGCUAAGACUUUUCUCUCAAUCAAAAUGCUUCUCAAAA
rnacentral:lncRNA from 1 species